ACUGCUGGUUUUGUGUGUGUGUGUGUGUGAUUUAAAAUUACAUUCAGUCAACUCUAUAGCCCUAUGGGCUUUUUGAAUAACCAAAUGCUCAACAGUUCUGUAAUCUUUCAGGUUGCUGUGAUCAGUCCCCAAGGAGUCUACACUCUCAAAGAGACUGGGAAAGGCCUGUGAGACAAUGGGAUUCUUUUUUCUAGAGGUGUAACUCUGCCUGUGUUUGCAUGCCACCUCCAGAACCACUAAAAUAUAAUUUCUCAGUGGGUGACUGAGUAAGACUGGCAGCAAUUGCAAAAGCAGAUUCAUGCCAUGUGUCACUCUUCACAGUCAGGAACUUAUUUACCUCUUGGAACUUUCCAAAGGAACGAUGAUGGUGGCGGUAAUGUCACAUUAGUAUGGAGCCCUUAAAUUCAGCAGUGUUCAACCUGAGGGAAGACAGAGGCCAUGCUGGAUAAGGAGCUGGCUGCCUCUGUGAACAUCCUACUCAAGGCAUCUUCACUGCUGUACAUCCUUUUGAAAUCCCAGAGAUCUUCAGUCUCCCUGUGGAUUAAGGAGAUGUGCAGUAUUUAAAGUGGCUUCAGGAAGGCAUGGAAGAGGACUGAGUGGGGAAAGCUUUUUGUGCAUGCUGCUGGCUACCUCCAGCGGCUGCCUCCAGCCUCCAUCAGCUGCACUCUGGGGAAGAGGAGGCUGCCUUCUACCUCCCAGCAUCUCUGGAUUUCAUGUUCCUGUCAGCACAGAGGAGCUAAAUGGCCU
rnacentral:lncRNA from 1 species